GGCAAGUGAGAGGUAAGCCUUCCAGUACUCCCUGUGAUUUCGGGAAGAUCUUGAUUGUGAAGGGCUGUUUGUAGAUCCCAUCAGAGGUGCCCAGACUGACUUGCCAUCUGAGGCCAGCUGCUGGGAUCUGACUCUUCCCAAGAACACAAAUCAAUAGUCAACGCAGAAACCACACUCCAAAGAGAAACUGGUUCCAAGAGUGGCUAUUACUAUUUGCUUUCAAUUGAAUAUAUGUAUGUAGAUAGGUGCAAAGCCUCCCAUUUUGCCUUCAGGACCAUAGCAAAUACCUGCUUUCUGGAUGGACAAGGGAGACCCUUGUUAGCAAGAAUUGUGCUACAGUCUCCCAGCCUAACCACAAGGACACACGAGGACUAGAACAUUUGCUCUGCUUCUACUCAUCAUUGGCAAGAGUUUGAACACCUCUUUCUCAAACCAGCAGCAAGAGUUGCCCAG